UACAGAGGUCCCAAGCGUUGUUCGGAUUCACUGGGCGUAAAGGGUGCGUAGGUGGCUUGGUAAGUUCGAUGUGAAAUCUCCGGGCUUAACCCGGAAAUGGCAUUGAAUACUAUUGAGCUGGAGGUUUGGAGGGGGGACUGGAAUUCCUGGUGUAGCGGUGAAAUGCGCAGAUAUCAGGAAGAACACCCGUGGCUAAGGCGGCUCUCUAGUACGG
rnacentral:rRNA from 1 species